rnacentral:lncRNA from 1 species
GGCAAUUGCCCCCCCUAAAAUUUGGAAAAUAUCCGAGGACCUAUAUGUAAUUAAAUUUUUUAUAGGGGGUUAAUUGUAAUUUUCACAAUAUAUUAAUAUUUUUUAAGGGUUAAUAUAUAAAUUUCACAAUAUUUAUAUACUAUAUAAAUUUUACAAUAUAUGUAAUUUUAAGUUUAAUUACAUAUAUAUCCCUAAAAACUUAAAUAUCCCUAAAUUUCU